UAUAGUCAAGUGAAUAUACCAAAGACAGCAAGUUUCGGGUAAUGCCGAAGUAAAUAUCUUGCCGAGGUUAGAUAGAUCCUUAAUUGUCUUUGGUUUAACCAAAGAUUUUUUAAUAAUUUA
rfam:Candidate division CPR2 bacterium GW2011_GWC2_39_10 TT18_C0007, whole genome shotgun sequence.